rnacentral:lncRNA from 1 species
AACUCAGGAGCCUCUGCCUCAGUUCCCUAUGAUUAAUGAAAAUUUUAAAAAGAAACCACAAUGCAAAUAAUAAAGUUCUUAGUUGCGUGCCUGUCGUGUGGUAUCAGGGCGAGCUGGCGGCUGGCUGCAGGGCCGACCUUCACCGACUCACCCUUUCAGCCCCCUUUCAGUCCAGGAGCCAGCCAGUCACGAGGCAGGCGUGCCAGUCACACAGACUAGGGAAAUGCCCGAAGGUCCAGCCCACAAGCUGGGAGGUUUAAAAAAACCUCUUUGAACUUCAGUUUCCUCGUUUCUAUAAAAGUGGCUUGAGGACAAUAGUCUCCUUACCAGCUGGUUUGUGAUGAGGAGUCAUGAAAAGGUGAUUAAACAUUGACCCCAGUGCUGGCCUUUGGGGAGGACUCAACACAGAACAGCUGUGGCCUCACCAGUUCCUUAGAAACCUCUCGCUGGGUGGAAGGACGAGGUGAGGCUGGGAGAGGUUUGUACACCCAAAGGGAAAAACAUAGAGCUUGUGGCUAAAAAGCGCGGGGCA